UACGAAGGGGGCUAGCGUUGCUCGGAAUCACUGGGCGUAAAGCGCACGUAGGCGGCCUCUUAAGUCAGGGGUGAAAUCCUGGAGCUCAACUCCAGAACUGCCUUUGAUACUGGGAGUCUUGAGUUCGGGAGAGGUGAGUGGAACUGCGAGUGUAGAGGUGAAAUUCGUAGAUAUUCGCAAGAACACCAGUGGCGAAGGCGGCAUCCUGGACCGACAUUGACGCUGAGGAGCGAAAGCUAGGGGAGCAAACGGG
rnacentral:rRNA from 1 species